rnacentral:rRNA from 1 species
CGGGGGGAGCAAGCGUUGUUCGGAUUUACUGGGCGUAAAGGGCGCGUAGGCGGCGCAACAAGUCACUUGUGAAAUCUCCGGGCUUAACCCGGAGCGGCCAAGUGAUACUGUCGUGCUAGAGUGCGGAAGGGGCUACUGGAAUUCUCGGUGUAGCGGUGAAAUGCGUAGAUAUCGAGAGGAACACCUGCGGCGAAGGCGGGUAGCUGGGCCGACACUGACGCUGAGGCGCGAAAGCCAGGGGAGCGAACGGGAUUAGAUACCCCGGUAGUCCUGGCCUUAAACGAUGGAUACUUGGUGUCCGAGGUUACAUAGUCCUCGGGUGCCGGCGCUAACGCAUUAAGUAUCCCGCCUGGGGAGUACGGUCGCAAGACUG